AGGGCCACCCUGGCCGGGACUCCCUUGCAGUCAGGUUCCUGGGGCGGAGGCUGUUCUCUCUAUGAUGAGACCUAUCACAGACCUGUGCUGACAGCCCUGUGAGGACCCCAAAUAAAUCUGAGGAGAGCAGACCUACCCCCACCCCUGUGGCCAAGGGUAUGAAGGGCAGCCAUGCCAUGAUACUGGGGACCUUUAGGGGAUCUUGCCCAUGUUGGGGGGUAGUUUAGAGCUUUGCCCACUUUGCCAUGGUGCUCAUGUGUCCAUUCCACGUUCCUAAUGAUAUUUCUCUGUAUGCAGGGUUUAAAACUCCUGACUGCUUGCUAGGCAUGGGUCUUAUCAUUCAUGUGCAUCUGCAGCCUCUUCACAUGUUACCCCCAUCCCCAGAUGGAGUCUAACCUCAUACAGGUGAACUCCUCCUGGGAUGAACACCUGUCUCAGGUGAGAUGCCAUGAUGUGGGAAGGGUUCCUGAAGUUAGUCUUGGCCAGCUCCUGAUCCAGCUGCCCAGGUUAAAGAUGCUGGAGUGGAUGGCUGCACUGCACUGAGUCAUGGCAGGUAGCCAGAGGCCUGGGGUCUGAAGUGCCUGGAAUGGAGCCUUGGAAUUCCUGCCAGGGAAUGGGCAGUCAGUCAUUGGAGCUGCAGGGCUGCCUGGAAGCAUGGCUCAUCCCAGCACAGCAGGUUGGAGCAUGUGGGCCAGAUGCAGCUUUGCCAUCACACCUGCUCUCAGGAAGAGCUCUUCCUGCUCAGCUGUGACAAACCCAGCAGCAGCUUAGUGUUGAUGGGGGUAGCCAGCCCCUUAAGUGUGUGGUUCUGUGUGUACUGAUUGUUUAAAUAAAACAUCUCUGCACAGAA